UACGUAGGGGGGCAAGCGUUUGUCCGGAUUUAUUGGGCGUAAAGAGCGUGUAGGCGGCUUCACAGGUCCGCUGUGAAAACUCGAGGCUCAACCUCGAGCUGUCGGUGGAAACCGUGUGGCUAGAGUCCGGAAGAGGAGAGUGGAAUUCCCGGUGUAGCGGUGAAAUGCGCAGAUAUCGGGAAGAACACCCGUGGCGAAGGCGGCUCUCUGGGACGGUACUGGACGCUGAGACGCGAAAGCGUGGGGAGCGAACAGG
rnacentral:rRNA from 1 species